AAAACACAAGAUCAAACUCCAUGUGCGGAACAACGGAGUAUAUGGCACCUGAAAUCGUUCGUGGAAAAGGGCAUGAUAAGGCUGCUGACUGGUGGAGCGUUGGGAUUCUUCUCUAUGAGAUGCUCACGGGAAAGGUAAAAACGUCUACUUCUUUUUGUGUUUCCAAAGAAGAAGUCUCAUUCAUGCCUUGGUAUUCGUUUAGGUGAUAUAAAUGUCUUGUGUGAUGCGAUUUGUUUCCUUUUGCAGCCACCUUUUAUGGGGAGCAGAGGAAAGAUAGAGCAGAAAAUUGUGAAGGACAAGAUCAAGCUUCCGCAGUUUCUGUCUAGUGAAGCUCAUGCGUUGCUGAAAGGGGUAAGUAAAUAUGAAAAUCUUUUAAGUGUACUAAGAAUUAUGAAGAAGCAUUGGAUUAGACAAAAUCUGGUUCUGACUUUGUGAUGAAUGGUAUAGCUGCUGCAAAAAGAGCCAGAAAGGCGACUUGGAAGUGGACCGAGCGGAGCAGAGGAGAUAAAAGAGCACAAAUGGUUCAAAGGAAUGAACUGGAAGAAGCUGGAGGCUAGAGAAGUGAAGCCAAGUUUCAAGCCGGAGAUAUCGGGAAGGCAAUGCAUAGCAAAUUUUGACAAGUGUUGGACUGAAAUGUCUGUGUUGGAUUCUCCCGCAAGCAGUCCAAGCUCGGAUCCUAAGGCCAACCCUUUCACCAACUUCACAUACGUCAGGCCUCCUCCUUCAUUCCUUCAACAAUCUACAUCGACUUUGUAGACGAGCUAUCGAAAUCAACUUUCACAUGUUUCCAAUCAAGAGAGGGUUUCAACAAAGCUAGGAACCUUAUGUUGUUUCUUUUUUUAUUUCUUUUUUACUUUGAUUAAGAAUCUCAUUUAAAGUUAAGAUAUGAUAUUGAGUUAAUCCAAUAUUUUUAACUAAAAAUGAAUGUCUCUUAUUAACUUUUGAAUAACAUAAGGUUUGAUAUGACUUUUAUAAAUCAUUGACUGAACACUAAAACAUGACCAACAAAAUUCAUGUAGGUGAUAUGAUUUUAAAUUAUUUUGAAAUAUUUGAAGGAAUUUAUAUGUUAAUUAUGGGAAUAGACAAAUAGUUGAUGUUAAUAAUAAUAUACAAAAAAUAAACCUCUGCCGCGUUAGAACAACUUGCCAACAGUUCUUCCAAUAAAAUAAACGUGUCCUGACCCCUUGAUCCACGAUGCUUCUUCUGUAACAUAAAUAAAUUUAAAAAAAAAAAAAAAAGGAGCCACGCGCCUCUGAAACCUUUUCCUUGCGGGUUUUGGUAUUUUCCAUUGCCUCUUAAAUAAAUUCUCCUCUCCUUCUCCUUCCUCAGGCAUAUUCUCUCUCUCUCUCCCUGGUAAUAUUUUCUCUCUCUCUCUUUCUCUUUGACUUUUCUACCGCAGAGUUUAGAUUCAUUUUUCUCUUCUGGAUAUAAUACAUUAUUGAAGUUCAUGUAUUGUUUCUACGACACGAAACCGUUUAGGUUCAAGUCCUAGUUUUUCUCUCUAUCUUGUUUUGUCUGCAAAUUGCUUUUGUCAUGCGACACCUGUUUCCUUAAUUUACGACUAGAUCGGAGUUCUAAAGAUUUUUUUACUUGAGGGAAUCGUUCGGUCUCGUGUUCUGCUGAAAUUUUGGUUCUCGCAGCUAUUUUAGCUUCUUUUUUUUUUUUAAACGAUUCUGAAUCCGGCAAUUGAAGAGCUUCGGGCUGUAUUCAAGAUUUUUCUCCGCAGUGAAAUUUUUCCCCUCUUUUUUUAUUUAUUUAUUUUUGGUGAAGGAUCCUCUAAUGAUAUUUGGUCGGUGCGAAGUUUUCUUAAUCUCAAUUAUGGUGACUUUAGUUUUUGGUAAUUAAGAAGAAAUCUUUUCACUUGUUUAAUUUUUAAUUUUUAUGAUAAUUCCGUAUCCGUCUCUCGAUGAUUUUGGUCAAUCCUGUACUUGAUAUGAUCAUGUCUUAGCCUCAGACUCUGAACUUGUAAAAAAUUCAUGAAUUGCAGGGCUUAGAGCACUUUGAUGGCAUUUACGCAAUUGUGCAGCAUCCACUGUUUCCUUAAAAUAGGGAAACAAGAAGAUCUUCUUCUCCUCGAUAUUGGUUUCUCUGUUCCAAGUCUUCUCCUCAUUAGCUACAUUCGUAGGAGACCCUAACCAAUCUGGUGAAAACUUGUGAAGCUAUUUCUUUUGGUCGAUUGGUUUUUGAAAAUAUGGUUUCUUCUGAGUGUUCUGGUGUUGCCAACAAAAACCUGACUGGCAAGGCCUUUCAUAAACAGCUAUGUUUAACAAUCACCCCUCCACAUGCUGUCUUGAAAGAUGAUGUUGAACUUGAAUUCUCUGAUGUCUUUGGUCCACUCCCUGAAACUAAUAACUCUGGAGAAGAUGGUGAUGUUGUUUACGACGAGCCUGCUGUUGUCUACAGCCGAUCGCACUCAUUGGUUGGCCCGUCUUCUAUCGGUGGUCAUUCUUUCAAGCUGAACAAGCUCACCUUACGAGAGACUGAGGACUCGAUAGAAUUGUUGGAGUGUCUCGAAGGUGAAUCUUUAAAAGAAAGCGAUGAAAUCUCUGGUAAUGACGACACCGACAAUGAGAAAAGUCCAGAGGGAGAUGUGGUAAAGGUCUCAGGUGUUGUAGGCAUUGAGGAUUUUGAGGUUUUGAAGGUUGUGGGGCAAGGCGCGUUUGGGAAAGUGUACCAGGUGAGGAAGAAGGAGACAUCUGAGAUAUACGCUAUGAAGGUCAUGAGAAAAGACAAGAUAAUGGAGAAGAACCAUGCGGAAUACAUGAAAGCUGAGCGAGAUAUUCUUACUAAAACCGAUCAUCCAUUCAUCGUUCAGCUUAAAUACUCUUUUCAGGUAAAAAUUCCUACUUCUCACUCUGUUUGCAUCCUAGUGAUUUACAUUAUAACUUGUUAACUUAGAGCACUAUACCUACCCGUUUUUUUAUUCUGCAGACUAAGUAUAGGCUGUAUCUUGUGCUCGACUUCAUAAACGGAGGGCAUCUUUUCUUCCAGCUCUAUCACCAAGGGCUUUUCAGGUUUGGUUUAAUUCCUUUUUGCAACUAUUUUUGGAGUUUCCCCAGAAUUCCUCAAGGCUUGACUAGUUCUAUGUUUUGUUAUCCACAGAGAGGACUUGGCUCGUGUGUACACUGCGGAAAUCGUCUCUGCAGUUUCACAUCUCCAUGAGAAUGGGAUAAUGCACAGAGAUCUUAAACCCGAAAACAUACUCAUGGACACGGAUGGCCACGUGAUGUUAACAGAUUUUGGUUUAGCUAAGGAAUUUGAAGAAAACACAAGAUCAAACUCCAUGUGCGGGACUACUGAGUAUAUGGCACCUGAAAUCGUUCGUGGAAAAGGACAUGAUAAAGCUGCUGACUGGUGGAGCGUUGGGAUUCUUCUCUAUGAGAUGCUCACUGGAAAGGUAAAAAAAAAUGCCGUCUUCUUUUGUAGUCUUGGUAUCUAUUUAGUUGAUAACUGAUAUGUGUUGUGUGAUGCCAUUGUUUUACCUUUUGCAGCCACCUUUCCUGGGGAGCAAAGGAAAGAUACAACAGAAAAUAGUCAAGGACAAGAUCAAACUUCCACAGUUUCUGUCUACAGAAGCUCAUGCGUUGCUGAAAGGGGUAUGUAUCAUCAUCUUCAUGUACUAUCAAACAUUGGAUUAGAAAAAAUCUGGUUCUGACUUUGUAAUGAAUGUAUAGCUGCUGCAAAAAGAGCCAGAGAGGCGACUUGGAAGUGGACCGAGCGGAGCAGAGGAGAUAAAAGAGCACAAAUGGUUCAAGGGAAUGAACUGGAAGAAACUGGAGGCUAGAGAAGUGAAGCCAAGUUUCAAGCCGGAGGUAUCGGGAAGGCAAUGCAUAGCAAAUUUUGACAAGUGUUGGACUGAAAUGUCUGUGUUGGAUUCUCCCGCAAGCAGUCCAAGCUCGGAUCCUAAGGCCAACCCUUUCACCAAUUUCACAUACGUCAGGCCUCCUCCUUCAUUCCUUCAACAAUCUACAUCGACUUUGUAGAGGAUCUAUAUGUUAUUAGAUGGGUUUAUGGAAAUAUACUUCUGUGAAUACAUAAUUUGACGUUUCUAAGCUUCUUCAUCGCCUUCUUGAUGUAUACGUUUAAUUUUUUUUUUUUUUUUUACUAUCUAAAACUGUGUGAAACAUAUGAAUAUGAAAUUACGUUUGACUAAGAACGC
rnacentral:lncRNA from 1 species